GAUGAAGAACGUAGCGAAAUGCGAUAAGUAAUGUGAAUUGCAGAAUUCAGUGAAUCAUCGAAUCUUUGAACGCACAUUGCGCCCGCCAGUAUUCUGGCGGGCAUGCCUGUCUGAGCGUCAUUUCAACCCUCAUGCCCCUAGGGCGUGGUGUUGGGGAUCGGCCAAAGCCCGCGAGGGACGGCCGGCCCCUAAAUCUAGUGGCGGACCCGUCGUGGCCUCCUCUGCGAAGUAGUGAUAUUCCGCAUCGGAGAGCGAUGAGCCCCCGCCGUUAAACCCCCAACUUUCCAAGGUUGACCUCAGAUCAGGUAGGAAUACCCGCUGAACUUAAGCAUAUCAAUAAGCGGAGGA
rnacentral:misc_RNA from 1 species